AAACCAUGCACCGAAGCUGCGGCAGCGACACUCAGGUGUUGUUGGGUAGGGGAGCGUUCUGUAAGCCUGUGAAGGUGUGCUGUGAGGCAUGCUGGAGGUAUCAGAAGUGCGAAUGCUGACAUAAGUAACGAUAAAGCGGGUGAAAAGCCCGCUCGCCGGAAGACCAAGGGUUCCUGUCCAACGUUAAUCGGGGCAGGGUGAGUCGACCCCUAAGGCGAGGCCGAAAGGCGUAGUCGAUGGGAAACGGGUUAAUAUUCCCGUACUUGGUGUUACUGCGAAGGGGGGACGGAGAAGGCUAUGUUGGCCGGGCGACGGUUGUCCCGGUUUAAGCGUGUAGGUGUGUGUUCCAGGUAAAUCCGGUUCACUUUAACACUGAGGCGUGACGACGAGGCACUACGGUGCUGAAGCAACAAAUGCCCUGCUUCCAGGAAAAGCCUCUAAGCAUCAGGUAACAUCAAAUCGUACCCCAAACCGACACAGGUGGUCAGGUAGAGAAUACCAAGGCGCUUGAGAGAACUCGGGUGAAGGAACUAGGCAAAAUGGUGCCGUAACUUCGGGAGAAGGCACGCUGACAUGUAGGUGAAGUGAUUUACUCAUGGAGCUGAAGUCAGUCGAAGAUACCAGCUGGCUGCAACUGUUUAUUAAAAACACAGCACUGUGCAAACACGAAAGUGGACGUAUACGGUGUGACGCCUGCCCGGUGCCGGAAGGUUAAUUGAUGGGGUCAGCGCAAGCGAAGCUCCUGAUCGAAGCCCCGGUAAACGGCGGCCGUAACUAUAACGGUCCUAAGGUAGCGAAAUUCCUUGUCGGGUAAGUUCCGACCUGCACGAAUGGCGUAAUGAUGGCCAGGCUGUCUCCACCCGAGACUCAGUGAAAUUGAACUCGCUGUGAAGAUGCAGUGUACCCGCGGCAAGACGGAAAGACCCCGUGAACCUUUACUAUAGCUUGACACUGAACAUUGAGCCUUGAUGUGUAGGAUAGGUGGGAGGCUUUGAAGUGUGG
rnacentral:rRNA from 1 species